GUUGAUCAGAAGCGAGAAUGUUGACAUGAGUAGCGACAAACAGGGUGAGAGACCCUGUCGCCGAAAGUCCAAGGGUUCCUGCUUAAAGCUAAUCUGAGCAGGGUAAGCCGGCCCCUAAGGCGAGGCCGAAAGGCGUAGUCGAUGGGAACCAGGUUAAUAUUCCUGGGCCAGGAGAUGUGACGGAUCAUAGAGGUAGUUCGGUCUUAACGGAUUGAUCGGGCUGCUGAGUGGUCCCUGGAAAUAGCCCUCCAUGAGACCGUACCCUAAACCGACACAGGUGGACUGGUAGAGAAUACCAAGGCGCUUGAGAGAACCACAUUUAAGGAACUCGGCAAAAUACCUCCGUAAGUUCGCGAGAAGGAGGCCCCGUUUGUACGCAAGUAUGGGCGGGGGGCACAAACCAGGGGGUGGCGACUGUUUACUAAAAACACAGGGCUCUGCGAAGCCGUAAGGCGACGUAUAGGGUCUGACGCCUGCCCGGUGCCGGAAGGUUAAAAGGAGAUGUGCAAGCAUUGAAUUGAAGCCCCGGUAAACGGCGGCCGUAACUAUAACGGUCCUAAGGUAGCGAAAUUCCUUGUCGGGUAAGUUCCGACCUGCACGAAUGGCGUAACGACUUCCCCGCUGUCUCAAAUGUGGACUCAGCGAAAUUGAAUUGUCUGUGAAGAUGCAGACUUCCCGCGGUUAGACGGAAAGACCCCAUGCACCUUUACUAUAGCUUCGCACUGGCAUCAGGAUUGUGAUGUGCAGGAUAGGUGGUAGGCAUUGAAACCGGGACGCCAGUUCCGGUGGAGCCAUCCUUGAGAUACCACCCUUCGCACUCUUGAUGUCUAACCGCGGCCCGUUAUCCGGGUCCGGGACCCUGCGUGGUGGGUAGUUUGACUGGGGCGGUCGCCUCCCAAAGAGUAACGGAGGCGCGCGAAGGUUGGCUCAGAGCGGUCGGAAAUCGCUCGUUGAGUGCAAUGGCAGAAGCCAGCCUGACUGCAAGACUGACAAGUCGAGCAGAGACGAAAGUCGGCCAUAGUGAUCCGGUGGUCCCGAGUGGAAGGGCCAUCGCUCAACGGAUAAAAGGUACGCUGGGGAUAACAGGCCGAUGAUGCCCAAGAGUCCAUAUCGACGGCAUCGUUUGGCACCUCGAUGUCGGCUCAUCUCAUCCUGGGGCUGGAGCAGGUCCCAAGGGUAUGGCUGUUCGCCAUUUAAAGAGGUACGUGAGCUGGGUUUAGAACGUCGUGAGACAGUUCGGUCCCUAUCUGCCGUGGGUGUAGGAUACUUGAGAGGAGUUGCCCCUAGUACGAGAGGACCGGGGUGAACGUUCCACUGGUGGACCAGUUGUCGUGCCAACGGCAGUGCUGGGUAGCUAUGAACGGACAGGAUAAACGCUGAAGGCAUCUAAGCGUGAAGCCCCCCUCAAAACAAGGUAUCCCUUGAGAGCCGUGGAAGACCACCACGUCGAUAGGCCGGAGAUGUAAGCGCAGCAAUGCGUUCAGUUGACCGGUACUAAUGGCUCC
rnacentral:rRNA from 1 species